AGACAAUCACCAGAACAUAAAGAAACUUUUUGACCCGGAUGAUGUUACCACCAGCCAAAUCUAAAGUGCUUUAAAUGAGUGCAGCGCUAUAUAAGUGCUUAGGUAAGUGUAUUCACUAGAUCUUGGAACUCUUACCCUUUAUCGUUUCUCUUGAUACAAUAUGGUACAUAAAAAAGAAGAAAAAAGAACAUAUACAGAUAAUAGUGUAAUAUGUCUUUAAAUAGAGCGAUUGGUGAAAUAAGUGAAUAUAUAAACUCACAUUCGUUAGAGCCUUUUCUAGUGUUAGGCUCUAAACUUCUGCACGUCUGUGUCUUUUUUGGGUAGAUCACACGACCCCUCUCUCACAAGGAAGAUAUGAAUGUUCUCCACCGAAUAUAUAAAA